rnacentral:rRNA from 1 species
AGUGAACGCUGGCGGUAGGCCUAACACAUGCAAGUCGAACGGCAGCACAGUAAGAGCUUGCUCUUACGGGUGGCGAGUGGCGGACGGGUGAGGAAUACAUCGGAAUCUACUUUUUCGUGGGGGAUAACGUAGGGAAACUUACGCUAAUACCGUAUACGACCUACGGGUGAAAGCAGGGGAUCUUCGGACCUUGCGCGAUUGAAUGAGCCGAUGUCGGAUUAGCUAGUUGGCGGGGUAAAGGCCCACCAAGGCGACGAUCCGUAGCUGGUCUGAGAGGAUGACAAGCCACACUGGCACUGAGACACGGUCCAGACUCCUCCGGGAGGCAGCAGUGGGGAAUAUUAGACAAUGGGCGCAAGCCUGAUCCAGCCAUACCGCCUGAGUGAAGAAGGCCUUCGGGUUGUAAAGCCCUUUUGUUGGGAAAGAAAAGCAGCAGGUUAAUACCCCGCUGUUCUGACGGUACCCAAAGAAUAAGCACCGGCUAACUUCGUG